CUACGUGCCAGCAGCCGCGGUAAUACGGAAGGUCCGGGCGUUAUCCGGAUUUAUUGGGUUUAAAGGGAGCGUAGGCUGGAGAUUAAGUGUGUUGUGAAAUGUAGACGCUCAACGUCUGACUUGCAGCGCAUACUGGUUUCCUUGAGUACGCACAACGUUGGCGGAAUUCGUCGUGUAGCGGUGAAAUGCUUAGAUAUGACGAAGAACUCCGAUUGCGAAGGCAGCUGACGGGAGCGCAACUGACGCUUAAGCUCGAAGGUGCGGGUAUCAAACAGGAUUAGAUACCCUGGUAGUCCGCACAGUAAACGAUGGAUGCCCGCUGUUGGUACCUGGUAUCAGCGGCUAAGCGAAAGCAUUAAGCAUCCCACCUGGGGAGUACGCCGGCAACGGUGAAACUCAAAGGAAUUGACGGGGGCCCGCACAAGCGGAGGAACAUGUGGUUUAAUUCGAUGAUACGCGAGGAACCUUACCCGGGCUUGAA
rnacentral:rRNA from 1 species